UUUGACAAAUUUUGCAAUGAUAAAUGAUCCACAGUUUAGCGCACAGAGACUGAUGUUGUGCUCGCUGUGUGAAGAGUUUUGAAAAAGUGACCUAAUUAUUGAGAAAUGUGUCCUAGAGAUUGUAAAAAA